rnacentral:lncRNA from 1 species
UUUUUUUUUUUUUAAUUUUUAUUUAUUAUUAUAUGUAAGUACACUGUAGCUGUCUUCAGACACACCAGAAGAGGGAGUCAGAUCUUGUUACGGAUGGUUGUGAGCCACCAUGUGGUUGCUGGGAUUUGAACUCUGGACCUUCGGAAGAGCAGUCGGGUACUCUUACCCACUGAGCCAUCUCACCAGCUAGAUUUCCCGGGCAAGUGAUAGCCACAUGGCUUUGCUUAGUUUCUGAGGAGGGCUGUUUUCUGAAGGGACCUGCCCAUCCCAUAGGUUCCCUCAUUAGAAAGAGAAAUGGAAGCUUGUGGGCAGUGGGCCCGAAGCACACUGGAAGUUAUAUAUGGGGUUUCCAGAUUCCCAGGGUCUGGCACACCCACCCUAGAGAGCAGACUAGUGGACUCUCUGGGGUGGGAAAGGACACAGAUUCAUCUGAUAGCCAGAUACUCUUAUAUGUUUUAAGAUAAGCUAUCUAGCCUCGUCUGAUCUUGAACUCUGUAUAUAGUUGAGGGUGACUUUGAACUCUCAAUCUUCCUGCCUACCCAAUUUAUACAGUGCUGGGCACUGAACACAGGGUUCAGUGCUUGCUAGGCAGGUACCCCACCAUCUGACCUAUGUAGCUCUAGAUUUUCUUAUAAGUUUUUGAAAGGUAUUUUAGAAAUUUAUGUGUAUCAGUGUUUUACCCUCACACAUGUGCGUAUGUCACAUUCGUGCCUGGUGCCCACAGAGCCUAGGAGAGGGCACUGGAUCUCUUGGAACUAGAGUUAGAGAUAGUUACGAACCACCAUAGGGGUGCCGGGACUGGAACUAGGGUCCUCUGAAGGAAUGAAGAGUGUUUUUAACUGCUGAGCCAUUGCUCCUGCCCCAUGAUCUUUGUUUAACCAUACAAAUAUUUUGUAUUUAGUCGUUAGAGGAAGGUUCCAGUGGCUCUCCAUAGUGUCAGGCUUCCUAGAGCCCUCUGAACAACGUUGUGAUCUCUCACAAUGCAACGGAGUCUUCCAUUCCUUCAUCCCUAAAACAUGAAAACUCCCAUGUUGCUGUGUGGCUGGGAGCGGGGGUGGGAAGCAGAAUCAAACUACAGCCUCUCUUCCCACCAGCCCCCCCCCACCCUCACUUAGCCAAGGAUCACGUCCGUCCCAUGUCACAGGGGCAAAGUGAAGCCUGGAGGGACUUACCAGUGCCUGGCACAUUCCAGGGACAGAGUGUUCACAUUUGUUGGGUCUUAUGGCGAAAGCCUGUGACUUGAAAAUUUGAGGUCAGCACUAGGGAGGUAGAGGCAGGCAGAUCCCUGUAAAGCCAGUUUGGUCUACAGAGGGAGUUCCAGGAAAGCCAGGGCUACACAGAGAAACCCUGUCUUAAAAAGAAGAGAAGAGAAGAGAAGAGAAGAGAAGAGAAGAGAAG